CUCCUUGGGUGACGAGUGGCGGACGGGUGAGUAAUGUCUGGGAAACUGCCCGAUGGAGGGGGAUAACUACUGGAAACGGUAGCUAAUACCGCAUAACGUCGCAAGACCAAAGAGGGGGACCUUCGGGCCUCUUGCCAUCGGAUGUGCCCAGAUGGGAUUAGCUAGUAGGUGGGGUAACGGCUCACCUAGGCGACGAUCCCUAGCUGGUCUGAGAGGAUGACCAGCCACACUGGAACUGAGACACGGUCCAGACUCCUACGGGAGGCAGCAGUGGGGAAUAUUGCACAAUGGGCACAAGCCUGAUGCAGCCAUGCCGCGUGUGUGAAGAAGGUCUUCGGAUUGUAAAGCACUUUAAGUUGGGAGGAAGGGCAGUAAGUUAAUACCUUGCUGUUUUGACGUUACCGACAGAAUAAGCACCGGCUAACUUCGUGCCAGCAGCCGCGGUAAUACGAAGGGUGCAAGCGUUAAUCGGAAUUACUGGGCGUAAAGCGCACGCAGGCGGUUUGUUAAGUCAGAUGUGAAAUCCCCGGGCUCAACCUGGGAACUGCAUCUGAUACUGGCAAGCUUGAGUCUCGUAGAGGGGGGUAGAAUUCCAGGUGUAGCGGUGAAAUGCGUAGAGAUCUGGAGGAAUACCGGUGGCGAAGGCGGCCCCCUGGACGAAGACUGACGCUCAGGUGCGAAAGCGUGGGGAGCAAACAGGAUUAGAUACCCUGGUAGUCCACGCCGUAAACGAUGUCGACUUGGAGGUUGUGCCCUUGAGGCGUGGCUUCCGGAGCUAACGCGUUAAGUCGACCGCCUGG
rnacentral:rRNA from 1 species